rnacentral:rRNA from 1 species
GAUGAAUGCUGGCGGCGUGCCUAACACAUGCAAGUCGAACGGUAAGGCCCUUCGGGGUACACGAGUGGCGAACGGGUGAGUAACACGUGGGUGAUCUGCCCUGCACUUCGGGAUAAGCCUGGGAAACUGGGUCUAAUACCGGAUAGGACCCUGGGAUGCAUGUCCUGGGGUGGAAAGCUUUUGCGGUGUGGGAUGGGCCCGCGGCCUAUCAGCUUGUUGGUGGGGUGAUGGCCUACCAAGGCGACGACGGGUAGCCGGCCUGAGAGGGUGACCGGCCACACUGGGACUGAGAUACGGCCCAGACUCCUACGGGAGGCAGCAGUGGGGAAUAUUGCACAAUGGGCGCAAGCCUGAUGCAGCGACGCCGCGUGAGGGAUGACGGCCUUCGGGUUGUAAACCUCUUUCAGCACCGACGAAGCGCAAGUGACGGUAGGUGCAGAAGAAGGACCGGCCAACUACGUGCCAGCAGCCGCCGUAA